rnacentral:tRNA from 12 species
CGGGGUGUAGCGCAGCUUGGUAGCGCAUCCGCUUUGGGAGCGGAGGGUCGCAGGUUCAAAUCCUGUCACCCCGAC